UUUUCCUUUUAUCUCUGAUUGUAAAAAUAUAAUUUUUUCAAAUGAGGAAAAAAAUGUUGGAAAAAGUAAUUAUUUUCCCAUCUGCUCCCUCCUGCAGCCUUGUAAUCGCUCCUCCCUCCCUCCCUCCAACCCCUGCACACUUAAUGCUUUGCCACACUUACAAAUGGGUUUUAUUCUGCUGCCUGUGUGAUUUAUUUGUAUAUUUGGCUUAUUAUUUAGCAUUAAUUAGGGCAGAAGAACAUUGACUCAGGAUGGCCUGGUGCCAUAGAGACAGGCUUACUUCACUUGAGUAGAAAAAUGGCAACUUUAUCAAUCUAUAACCUUUACUCUGGAAAGCAGAGGUUUUUUUUAGAUCAUUUGUCUAAUUUUUUUAGCUAAUUUCCAGCUCUAUAGUUUCUAUAAACAAAUCUUAGGACAAUAUUUCCAUUGAAGUAAUUUAAAAAUAAGUCCAUUUUCAGUACUAUCAGUUUCACAUAUGUUAAUUUAGUAUUGAAGCUAGACAUAAACAAAAAAUAUAUAUUGCUGAGUAUCAGGACAUGUAUUAGUUCUUACCCCCCCCCCUCAUUAUAUCUGAGUUAUUAAUGUAAGCACUGAAUAAGUAAAUCUGCUGGAAAACCAGACUUUCCCUGAAGCACACUGACUUCUCACUUUCUCAAUUUCAUCUAUUUCAUCUUUUUUUUCUCGCAGUUUUAAAAAUAUUUUCUCACGUACUCUCUUGUUUAUUAAUUAAUGCAAAACAAGUUUUGGACUUUUUAAGGAUUUUCAAUUUUUUUACAUUGCGCUUUCAUUUUUUUCUCUCCUUUUUAAUUGUGCUACUUUUAUUGUCUCCUGUGUACAACUGCACGAGAGAGCUCAUUUACAUUGCCUCCUGUUAUAAAAUAAAAACAAAUCAAACGUAUAUGUUGAACCAGCCGUAUACACAGGUGACUUGGGCAAUCAGUUUCAUGCUAGAUCCAAAUUGUACUCUGUGGUUAAACUGUGAGGGUUACGUAGAGCUCUAAGAGUGAGAAAAGACAAAGACAUUCCUUCCCCAGAGCAUCAGUGCCUAUUAAGAUUAUCAAGGAGAUUAUUAUGGAAGUGGAAAUUAUGACUUUUUUCCUCAUGGACCACCAUCUUCCCAGACACAGUCCCCAGCAGACUCUAGCUAUCUACAGAAUUCUGGACCUGGUUCAACCCCUUUAGGUCCUUUAGAAUCUCAGCUUUCUGGACACCACCCUUCAGAAAACCAAAGAUAUGUGGACAUGAUUUCCCAUCCUGACACUCCCAGUCCUGAGCCGGGUAUGACUGGCCCCCUCCAUCCUAUUUCUGGUGAAGUCUUCACUGGUGGUCCUAGUCCUCCCUUUUCUAUGUCUAACAAUAGUGGCUUUAGUGGUCCUCUGCCCCAUCAGAACCUUGACAUUAAUGAAGCCACUGUAUGGUAAUAAAAGACACUUGUUGACUUGUUGAAAUGAUCUCUUUAGUUGACCAGAAGUCAUUCUGUCUCUUUCCUUCUACUCUUCACUCAACAAUUGGGUGCUUGUACGCCUGAUUCCAACAGACAGGCCCAACCAACCUUGGAAAUGAUUCAGUUCCGUGGUACAUUUUCUCCUUGCUGAGCGAUGGCUGAAUCAACGUAGGAGUGGGCAAUCUGGGGUGAUUAAAAACCAAAACCAAGAACGACACUAAACCAAAAGCCAUUUGUAUGACAGCAGAAGAGAAACUGCAAUCUGUACAAGCUCUCCUUGUCCUGUAGCACCGGAGCCACAAGUCCAGUUAUCGGAAAGAGGGAAGAUAAAUGGGACCAACAUGGCACCAAAACCAAAACACACCUUCAUGACUAUUUAUUAUGAAGCUGCCUCCCUACCCAGCUUGAGAACCAGGAGAAAGCCUAAAACAACAAACUCUACAUGGUACCACGUAUAACAUUUUCUGGACCAGAAACCCAAAAGGAGGCGUUUCACUAGAACAAUCGAGUUCAAAUAUUUUGUAUUUAUUUCACAUUGAACAUGUAUUUUUAAGAAUGAUAAUAAAAAAUGGUUACAGGGGUUUUGUGUCUAAGCUCAAGACAAUGUUAAAAUUAACAGGGAAGCAUUCAUUUCAGAAAUGUCCUUAACGCUGCCUGCCACCCCAUUAAAACCUAUUUUGUAUUUACACGUAAGCCAUUUCUAAGUCAUUGAUUUAGUUACUGUCUUCUCUAAGUUUUGUUCUUUUGGAAGCAUUUCACAUAAUGAUCAUACUACAAAAGAUAAUUUCUGUUUAUUGGGUGUUUAGGUGGAACUGUUAUUCUUUCCAUACUGCGUGCUUUCCUAUGUCUAAGAAAAUACGGGACCAGCAGAAACGAUUGAAUUUUCUGUCUACUGAGCUUACGUCAAGUUUUUUUUGUAUUGAUUAAAUCCUUAGCUGUCAUCAUCUGGUUCAGUUGAUACAUUACCUCAAUGAUAGAUAUAAAGCUGCAGUACUGUUGUAGGGUGCCAUCUAGUGAUCUCUUUCACCAGUGUAACUCUUCCUGUCAAUGGCUUAAUGGAAUCCCAAUGAACCUGAUCAAAAUGUGAAAAUCUAUAGUCUCUCUUUAACAAAAAAAAAAUCAGGAUAAAUAAGUGGAAGAAGAGAUGAUAGGACAAGACACCCAUUUGCUGUAUUAUAGUUUAAGAGGCUUUGAAGCUUCCCAUUUGCUUAUUUUGUAUAAAGAAACAUGAAAAAUGAAUAAAGUAAGUUUGUGUUCCUGAUUAUUUAUUGUA